rnacentral:misc_RNA from 1 species
GCCUAAUUUGAAGCGUUAGUGUCAUACCAAUCUUUAGUAUCCUUGUACAACGCGAGUACCAUAAGGCUUAGCGAAGAGUCAAAAUAACUAAGCACUUUAUAUAUUGAUUUAUUUAUUUAUAAUCUUUCGUCACAGCUUAAUUUGUUUGUGAUGGAAGUUUUGCUAUGAAUAUUAUGAAAAUUAUGUAUUAAAUUUUCUUUCAUAAAAUAUGUUUGAACAUGUUUUUCUGGGCUCU